rnacentral:rRNA from 1 species
UACGUAGGGGGCUAGCGUUGCUCGGAAUCACUGGGCGUAAAGCGCACGUAGGCGGAUUGUUAAGUCAGGGGUGAAAUCCUGGAGCUCAACUCCAGAACUGCCUUUGAUACUGAGGAUCUUGAGUUCGGGAGAGGUGAGUGGAACUGCGAGUGUAGAGGUGAAAUUCGUAGAUAUUCGCAAGAACACCAGUGGCGAAGGCGGCUCACUGGCCCGAUACUGACGCUGAGGCACGAAAGCGUGGGGAGCAAACAGG